GUUGACAUGUCAUCACUUCAUUUUUUUGCGCCUGCGCAUAAAUCUGAGAAGCGUGAGUUUGUCAUUAAUUGUUUAUCUAGACAUAGGAUAGGUUGUGUGAAAAUAUUACUGAUGUUUAACGUUAAAAAUGGACCAAAAGAUUAAUGCUAAACAACAUUUGACAUGUUUGAACGGACGUAAAUAGAUUAUAUUACUAGGUUUUUUUAGCUUUUCUGCGUGAUUUUACACUCCCCCCACCACGUUUUGUGGGAGCAUAAUGAACGCUAAGUACUUGGUGUUAUUUGGACAUAAAUUAUGAACUUUGUCAAAAGAAACCACAUUUGUUCCGGACCUGGGAUGCCUUCCGGACCUGGGAUGCGUGCCUUCUGAUGGAGAUAAUCAAAGUCACGUUUUCAGCUGGUCCUCGUAAUGCUUCGUCAGCCCCCUGUAGACAGCCGGUCACGGUGUAACUGGCCAUACACGAUCUUCUGCAGCGGGCGCUCCUGAGACAUCCUGAAGACAUGCCCGAGCCAGUGCAGUUGGUGUUGGGUGACUGUGGCCUCCAUACUCUUGCAGUUGGUCUUAGCAAGUAUUUCUGUCAUGCCAGGUUGUUUCCUCGCCAUCCUUGAGUGGAGGGACAAAGAGGGUGUCACGACCGUCGUAUGAAUAAUUGGACCAAGGCGCAGUGUGAGUAGAGUUCCACAUUUUAAUGAUAGUGAAACUUCCAAAACAACAAAAAAUAUAACGAUAGUGAAAUAUGUAGCGCACAUAGCCACUCAUACAAAACAAUCUCCCACAUAGCAGGUUGGAAAAACAACACACUAAGUAUGAUCCCCAAUUAGAGGUAACGAUAUUCAGCUGCCUCUAAUUGGGAACGAUACACACACACCAACAUAGAAAUAUAAUACCUAGAAACCCCCCUGGUCACACCCUGAUCUAAAACACCCCAGAGAACCCCAAGGGCUCUCUAUGGUCAGGGUGUGACAGUACCCCCCCAAAGGUGCGGACUCCAACCACAAAACCUG
rnacentral:lncRNA from 1 species